rnacentral:rRNA from 1 species
AUUGAACGCUGGCGGCAGGCUUAACACAUGCAAGUCGAGCGAGCGGCGGACGGGUGAGUCAUGUCUGGGAAACUGCCUGAUGGAGGGGGAUAACUACUGGAAACGGUAGCUAAUACCGCAUACCAUCAGAUGUGCCCAGAUGGGAUUAGCUAGUAGGUGGGGUAAUGGCUCACCUAGGCGACGAUCCCUAGCUGGUCUGAGAGGUGGACCGGCCACACGGGAACGGAGACCCGGUCAAGACUCCGACGGGAGGCAGAAGUGGGGAACAUUGGCCAAUGGGCGCAAGCCGGAUGCAGCCAUGCCGGGUGGGGGAAGAAGGCCUCCGGGUGGUAAAGCACGUUCAGCGAGGAGGCGUUACUCGCAGAAGAAGCACCGGCUAACUCCGUGCCAGCAGCCGCGGUAAUUC